CUGAAGUGCCAAGCAGUGAAGUAAGGCGACUUUGAGAGACUAAUGGGGUAAGGGCUGUGAGCUCCUUGCCACGGGGAUGGGGCUUUUGGGGGUGGGGGGAGGCAAAGCUCCUGCUACCUCUGGGCUGUGAGCUCCUUGCCACGGGGAUGGGGCUUGCGGGGGGCGGGGGGGGGGGAGGCAAAGCUCCUGCUACCUCUGGGCUCUGCUGCAGUAGGAAUCUGAGCUACUUUCUGCCACGUUAUUUACACUGUAGGUUCUUCUGAGAAAAUAACUGACAUUUAAUUCAUUGAUUCAUAGACCUUCAUUUACAAGAGGUUAAUAUCUCAAUUCUCCCGGUGGAAUGAGUUGGAUUUAAAAAAAAAAAUAGAAUUUAAAUUCUAGUUCUAUCACCAACUAGGCAAGUGAUUGGAAAACUCAUUUUAUCUCUCUGGGUAGACGCUAUGAAGGCUCAAUACUUCUUACUGUGGCACAUUUAAAAACACGCGGAUUCUGUAAAGAAUAAGACGCUCUUGUUCAUACCACUAAUCUUUAUUAAAUCUCAGCAUCUCACCACAGGUACUUCCUUGAAAAAGUAGAAAGCCGUUACACAGCCCCAAUCCUGGAGAGUCCCUCCUCCUGCUAGACAGCUUCAUAGUCUGAACAGACCGGUUUUUAUUCAUAUUCCUUCAUUUAUUAUUUAUGGCACGUUGGAGUAUUUGUUUAUUUAUUUUGCUCAGAACCUAUCCAAGGAUCUUGCUCAUGCCAAAUGAGCAAUCUACUGUCAGGCUGUAUCCCAACCCAUCUGCAUGAUUUUACUCGUAGAUGUGCACCCUCUUAUUCACAAAUCUGAACCCCACAAAUGUCUGAGAUACAAAUGAGGCUCUGUUUGCUUAUUUAUUUUGUAAAUUCAUGACUUAUUUGAGAACAAAAUCUAAACAGACACAAAGUCAUUUAUGGACUUUAGGUGUCUGCCUUUCAAUGACUGUAUUUUAGUUUGGAAUAUUAAGUAUUUCACUUUGAAAUAUUAAUGUAGGUGAACAAGGUUUAUGCUCCCCCCUUACCUUGAUAAAGGUAUGUUCUAUCAUAUAUACAUAUGUACAUAUCAUAUAUACAUAGCCCAUGUGAGGACUCUAAAAUCAGAAUAACUCAGAAUAUCAAAAUGCAUUUGAUUCUCACAUGUUCAAGAUAGAGCAGUGGCUCUAUAUGGCCGUGUAUGACCACAAGCACCCAGUACCAAGCAGACACAUUCAUGAGGAUUCGAUCUGAUUCUUCAACUUUUAUUUCAAUGAGAUCAUACAAUAUGUUUUCUUCAGCAACUUGCUUUGGUUCACUAAGUAUUUUUAGGGUUCAUUUUAUUAUUUAUGUAUGUGAAUGUAUGCAUACACUACACACAUGCACACGUGUGUGCUGGUGCUUGUGGUUUGGAAGAGCAACAAGUGCUCUUACCUGCUGAGCCAUCUUCCCAGCCCCAACAUUAAAUAUUUUUUAACAUAUCUAUAUUGAUAGAUAAUAAGUGUUGUGUGACACUCCAUUGUAUAAAGUAGCUACAUUGUUCAUUCUGCCUCUGGAGAACAUCUGAGAUGUUUCUUGAGUUAUUUUAAUAAACAGUGUUGAAUGAACACACACUUGCGUGUGAGUGAGGAGAUCCUUCCAAAAGAGGGAUUGCCACCCCAGGAAUCCACAUCUUUACAUUUUAAUUGUGCUUAAUUACAGCUCAAUUUACUCUCUCAGCGGCCCUGCCUAGUCCUGUGGUUUCUAUCCCCGAGGGCACGCGGCAUCAUUAAAGUCUAUUCCCCAUUGUUGCCAAUAAAGCUGUAGGUUUUAAGGAGGCCAACCAACAGGGCUGGUUCUUGGCCAGGCUAAGAGCCAGUUGGGAAAUAAGACAAGUGGUUUAGAGACAGAGACCCAACCACCUCCCCCGGUUUGACCUUAGAACGGGGUGGGGGGGUGAGGGGGGGGUGUCAGGGAAGACUAAGCCUACCUACCACAGAGAACUUUCCCCAGAGAGGAAGAGAGACUACACUUCUGCAUUCAGGAUCUUUUUUUCAGUAGAGUUUCCCACAGAGGAAAAAUACAUGGUACAAUGUCCACCCCGUGCCCAGCCUCUUUGCCAUCUUGGUGGGAGGGAGGGAGGAAGAACGGAGGGCCUAGUGUUUAGAGGAAAUCCCUUGCUGAAGAAAACAGGAUGGAGAGGAACAUCUGGCUUCUUCUGUCCUGGUUUUGUUACUGUGUCUCUCUAGUGCGGACCAAGGCUGAGCAAACACUGACAGGGUUAUUAUUGGUCACAGAUGUUCUCUUUCCUAGCCAUUGCUUAGCCAUCUCCUGCGCCCUUCUUUCUGUUCUGCUGCUGGUCUCCAUCUUUGUUGGCAUAAGUAAUAGAUUCUGAACUUUUUGUUGGAAGCACACAUUGCUAACAUGGUUUCUCAGACUUGACCUUUUCUUCUUAUUAUUAUUUUUGACUAAGUAGACAUGUAUGAACAGAAAGCUUCUACUUCAGUAUGAAAACCCUUCAAUAACUGUCCUGAGGUUUUGUUGAUGUUGUUGUUGUUUUGUGGUCUUUGUACCUUGAAAAGCCAUAGCUACUAUGAAGGCUGGGUAGAAAGUGUGUGAGCCAAAUGGCCUGAGCCUGCUCUGGGGUGGGAAAGUGAAUGCCUAUAUUUUGUUUUUGAGACCAGAUUUCACUAUGUAGAUCAGGCUAGCCUAGAAUUCAUCAAGCUCCACCUCCCUCUGCCUCCUGUGGCUGGAAGUCUAUCAUUUUAAAGAAGCCUAUAAUCUGGAGAAGAGGGAGGACGUCAGAGGAGAGGAAGAGAGAUUUGGGGGGACUGUGGGCAUCCCCAGACCCCUACUGGCUCUGAACAGCUCAACUUGUCUAGAGUUCCAUGGGGCUCAGUCACUCAGACUCAGACACAUGCCACCAAGGCUGACGGUGUCUUCCUAUCUAAUGUAUUAUUGUUUUUGCAUAACAAUUGUGACUAAAUGAUUGACAGAAACACCCCUAGGAAGGAUUUAUUUUUGGAUGGAUCUUUUGUCUCUGGGUCUGUAGUGAAGCAGAGGAUCUAUCAUGGCAACAAGAGCAUGUGACAAGGGACCCAUUUCACAGCUAACAGAAAACAGAAAGGAAGAGCUGGGGACCUAGUGUAAGUUUCUCUGGUGUGCUACCUAUUUCCUCUAGUCCCAGAGUCCUACUUCAGGAACAGUGUCACCCAAUGGACAAGGACUUAACACAUGCACCUUCAGGUCAGUGGUUCUCAACCUUUGGGUCCCCACUUCUUUGAGGGUCAAAGACCCUUUUACAGGGGUCACCUAAGACCAUCCUACAUAUCAGGUAUUCACAUUAUGAUUCAUAACAGCUGAAAAAUUACAGUUACAAAGUAACAACAAAAAUAAUUUUAUCAUUGGGGAUCACCAUAAUGUGAGGAACUGUGUUAAAGGGUUGCAGCAUUAGGAAGGUUGAGAACCACUGCUUUAGGGAAAAUCCUUUAUUUUCAACCCAAAGCACGAUAUCUAGGGAGGUGGACCGGCAGGUCAAGGUGCUUGUUCUACAAGUCUGGUGACCUGAGAUCAAUCCCUGGAACCCACAUUAAGGUGGAAGGACAGAUCAGACUCUACAAAGUUGUCCUUUAACCUACACACACACACACACACACACACACACACACACACACACACUACAC
rnacentral:lncRNA from 1 species